GCAAACAUAAUCUAGAAAAUGUAUUAUUCUUCCCCAAGAAGGUUCAAGUAGAACCUCCCAGCACUUCUGGGUCCCUCUCCCCAAAGACAUACUUAACCCACCUGCAAGGGAAAGGACAGAAAGGAAUGGAAGGUCCAGAGACUUCAAGUCCCACAAAUGGGCCGACACUGUCUCAUUUUCACAGAGGCGUUGAUCUAGAACUGGGAACAACAUUGGAGGUCAUCUAGUCCCAUGCACUCCUUUGAUGAAUGAGGAACAUGAGGCUCAGGGAGCAGCUCUUUGAAUG
rnacentral:lncRNA from 1 species